rnacentral:lncRNA from 1 species
CGCAGCUGAUCAUAUCUUCAUUCAAAGAAUCUGUCUCUAGGUAAGGUCACAACGAGGUUCUUGGUGACAUGGAUUUUGCGGGGACUUAUCCAACCCAUCUGAAGAAAGUUUGGGAAGGGUAAAUGUACCAGUCGUUCCAAUAGAUGACCUCCACAGGGAGGCCCAGCAGUCCCAGACUCUUCCUUUAUAGGAAAAAGUGACUUCUCACUUUGCUCUGUCCCCCCUGAAAUGCCUUCUUCCGAAUGUGCCUGGAACGUUGUCUCCCCCUAGCCCUCAAUUGCCACCCACACUUCCUGGAGCCCUGGAGAGCUGGGGGUCAGGUAGGAGAAGGAGGCAAGAGGAUUGUCAUCGCUAAGCCUGCGUCCCUUGUCCCAUGUGGGGGUGCGGUACUGCAAGAUGAGGUUGGCUCUGAGGCACCCACUGCAAGGCCCUGGCUUUCUGAGGACACUGACUGUGGGAAAACCUACCCCGCUGCACCCCGGGCCAUCAGAGUAAUGAUCCCUGCAUUUACUUAAAGUAUUAAGAACAUGAACCCAACCCUGGUGUUUGGUUUGAACCUCUUCCUUCUCAAUCCAGCCCCACGUAGGAGAAAGAGGCAAGAUUAACAUUUGCUAUGAUUUCAUUCAUCUCUUGAGUCCGUGUUUCUCUAUAAAUGGCCGAUGCAUUAAAGAAAAGACUCCUUGUACCCUUCUCAGGGCCGAACAUAGCCUUUCAUCAGAGGAAUACAGGGGGCGAGGAAGGCAAGAAGGAAAUGGGGAGAGCAGGCGGGGAGCACUGGGCAAACUUACAGGCCCGCUCAGGGUCUGCUCAAGGCCACGGGGAAGGCCACAGUGGGCAGGGUCCCUGGGGCACAGGACAGGCCUCCUGAUGGGGGCAGACAGGGAGUCCGGGCGCUGGGGAGGCA